rnacentral:lncRNA from 1 species
AUGUGGCAGUCUGGGAGGCGGCCUGGCGCUGUGCACAUGGCCCUGCAGGAGUCGUGGUCACUCCCAGCGAGAGGAGCCGCAGCCAGCCUAGCAUGUGCCCUGAGGGCCUUGCUGCUGGCUCUGUGGGGGACCCCUGCAUGGACACUGCGUGGCCACGGGAGUCGGCAGGGGAGGACGCGGCCUUGCAGGUGGACCGAGUGGGUUCUGCUCAGCCCCACCCUCAUCUGGAGGCAGACUGGCCUCUGCCGCGAGCGCCUCCCCUCUCCGCCUGGGGUCCCCGCCGGCAGGUGCGUGCCCUGGCUAACAGGUGUAUCCCGUGUACCGGGCUCCCAAGGAGACAUCUGGGAGCCACUCUCCACUCCUGCUUCAAGGCUUCUGUACGCUGCUCAGCCAGCGUUCCCAGAACAGACACCUGUGACCCCUGGCUGUCUCCCAGGGGCUGAAGCCUCCCGCUGCUCGGCAUCCCGCGGCAGCCCCUCCCCUGCCUGCCACCAGGAGUCCAGGGCGUCCCCGCUGUGCCCAACCUCCCCCUGCCACCAGGAGUCCAGGGCAUCCCCGCUGUGUCCGCCCCUCCCUGCCUGCCACCAGGAGUCCAGGGUGUCCCUGCUGCGUCCCUCCCCUGCCACCAGGAGUCCAGGGCGUCCCCGCUGUGUCCCCCCCUCCCCUGCCACCAGGAGUCCAGGGCAUCCCCGCUGUAUCUCCCCCUCCCUGCCUGCCACCAGGAGUCCAGGGCGUCCCCGCUGUGUCCGCCCCUCCCCUGCCACCAGGAGUCCAGGGUGUCCCUGCUGCGUCCCUCCCCUGCCACCAGGAGUCCAGGGCGUCCCUGCUGUGUCCCCCCUCCCUGCCUGCCACCAGGAGUCCAGGGCAUCCCCGCUGCGUCCCCCCCUCCCUGCCUGCCACCAGGAGUCCAGGGCGUCCCCACUGUGUCCUCUCCUCCCUGUCUGCCACCAGGAGUCCAGGGCGUCCCCAUGGCGUCUGCCCCUCCCUUCGGCCGGUGCGGCCCCCGCAGCCUCCCAUUUGCGGGGCUGGGGGGCUCUGUGCGGCCGCCUCUGCCUAAGACCCCCUCCCCUGCUCCCUACUGGCGCUCUCUGCUGGCCAAUGUCUCACCCUGAAGACCCAGGCUUUGUUCACACGAGGGGGCCUGGAAGGGUUCAUAGAAAAAUACACGUUAGGUUACAAACUGCACAUGGAUUUCCGUCUUUGCACCAGGUGAGCUGA